rnacentral:rRNA from 1 species
CCCUUAGAUGUUCUGGGCCGCACGCGCGCUACACUGAUGAAUGCAACGAGCUCUACCCUUGACCGAAAGGCCCGGGUAAACUUGUGAAACUUCAUCGUGAUGGGGAUAGAUUAUUGCAAUUAUUAAUCUUCAACGAGGAAUUCCUAGUAAGCGCGAGUCAUCAGCUCGCGUUGAUUACGUCCCUGCCCUUUGUACACACCGCCCGUCGCCCCUACCGAUUGAAUGGUCCGGUGAAAUCUUCGGAUUGCUGACCAAGAUCCAGCAAUGGAGCUUGGUUGCGAGAAGUUGAUUAAACCUUAUUAUUUAGAGGAAGGAGAAGUCGUAACA